UCCCUGGUGGUCCAGUGGCCAAGACAUCUGUGCUCCGAAUGCAGGGGGCCUGGGUUCAAUCCCUGAUAGGGAA
rnacentral:tRNA from 1 species